UACGAAGGGGGCUAGCGUUGCUCGGAAUCACUGGGCGUAAAGGGUGCGUAGGCGGGUCUUUUAAGUCAGGGGUGAAAUCCUGGAGCUCAACUCCAGAACUGCCUUUGAUACUGAGGAUCUUGAGUUCGGGAGGAGGUGAGUGGAACUGCGAGUGUAGAGGUGAAAUUCGUAGAUAUUCGCAAGAACACCAGUGGCGAAGGCGGCUCACUGGCCCGAUACUGACGCUGAGGCACGAAAGCGUGGGGAGCAACAGG
rnacentral:rRNA from 1 species